UUAUACAGUGAACUGCGAAUGGCUCAUUAAAUCAGUUAUCGUUUAUCCGAAGUACCUUGCUAAUUGGCAUACGCCUGGCAAAUCUCGAGCUAAUACAUGCGCUUUUGCCCGACUUCUGGGAGGGCUGUAUUUAUUAGAUAAAAAAUCAACGCUGCUUGAUGAUUUCUAAUAACUUGUCGAAUCGCAUGGCCUCGUGCCGGCGAUGGUUCAUUCAAAUUUCUGGGCUAUCAACUUUCGAUGGUAGGAUAGAGGCCGACCAUGGUUUCAACGGGUAACGGUGAAUUAAGGGUUCGGUUCCGAGAGGGAGCCUGAGAAACGGCUACCACAUCCAAGGAAGGCAGCAGGCGCGCAAAUUACCCAAUCCCGACACGGGGAGGUAGUGACAAUUUUUAACGAUGCAGGGCCCAAACGGGUCAAGUAAUUGGAAUGAGUACAAUGUAAAUACCUUAACGAGGAACAAUUGGAGGGCAAGUCUGGUGCCAGCAGCCGCGGUAAUUCCAGCUCCAAGAGCGUAUAUUAAAGUUGUUGCAGUUAAAAAGCUCGUAGUUGAACCUUGGGUUUUGGAGGGAGGUCCACCUCACGGUGAGUACUUCCAUAUCCAAGACCUUUCCUCUGCUUCCUCGCAAGAGGCAGCAGAAUAUUACUUUGAGUAAAUGAGAGUGUUCAAAGCAGGCGCACGCUUGAAUCUGUUAGCAUGGAAUAAUAGAAUAGGACGCAUGGUUCUAUUUUGUUGGUUUCUAGGACCAUCGUAAUGAUUAAUAGGGACGGUCGGGGGCAUCAGUAUUCAGUUGUCAGAGGUGAAAUUCUUGGAUUUACUGAAGACUAACUACUGCGAAAGCAUUUGCCAAGGACGAAAACAUUAAUCAAGAACGAAAGUUAGGGGAUCGAAGAUGAUCAGAUCCCGUCGUAGUCUUAACCAUAAACUAUGCCGACUAGGGAUCGGCCGGCGUUCAUCUAGUGACGCGCUCGGCACCUUACGAGAAAUCAAAGUUUUGGUUCUGGGGGGAGUAUGGUCGCAAGGCUGAAACUUAAAGGAAUUGACGGAAGGGCACCACCAGGAGUGGAGCCUGCGGCUUAAUUUGACUCAACACGGGGAAACUCACCAGGUCCAGACACAAUAAGGAUUGACAGAUUGAGAGCUCAAACUUGAUUUUGUGGGUGGUGGUGCAUGGCCGUUCUUAGUUGGUGGAGUGAUUUGUCUGCUUAAUUGCGAUAACG
rnacentral:rRNA from 1 species